AACGAACGCUGGCGGCAUGCCUAACACAUGCAAGUCGAACGAGACCUUCGGGUCUAGUGGCGCACGGGUGUGUAACGCGUGGGAACCUGCCCUUAGGUUCGGAAUAACUCCCCGAAAGGGGUGCUAAUACCGGAUAAUGUCUUCGGACCAAAGAUUUAUCGCCUUUGGAUGGGCCCGCGUUGGAUUAGCUAGUUGGUAGGGUAAAAGCCUACCAAGGCGACGAUCCAUAGCUGGUCUGAGAGGAUGAUCAGCCACACUGGGACUGAGACACGGCCCAGACUCCUACGGGGGGCAGCAGUGGGGAAUAUUGGACAAUGGGCGAAAGCCUGAUCCAGCAAUGCCGCGUGAGUGAUGAAGGCCUUAGGGUUGUAAAGCUCUUUUACCCGGGAUGAUAAUGACAGUACCGGGAGAAUAAGCUCCGGCUAACUCCGUG
rnacentral:rRNA from 1 species